UCAGUCGACUCCUACGGGAGGCAUCAGUGGGGAAUCUUGGACAAUGGGCGCAAGCCUGAUCCAGCCAUGCCGCGUGAGUGAUGAAGGCCCUAGGGUCGUAAAGCUCUUUCGCCAGGGAUGAUAAUGACAGUACCUGGUAAAGAAACCCCGGCUAACUCCGUGCCAGCAGCCGCGGUAUACGGAGGGGUUAGCGUUGUUCGGAAUUACUGGGCGUAAAGCGCGCGUAGGCGGAUUAGUCAGUUAGAGGUGAAAUCCCAGGGCUCAACCCUGGAACUGCCUUUAAUACUGCUAGUCUUGAGUUCGAGAGAGGUGAGUGGAAUUCCGAGUGUAGAGGUGAAAUUCGUAGAUAUUCGGAGGAACACCAGUGGCGAAGGCGGCUCACUGGCUCGAUACUGACGCUGAGGUGCGAAAGUGUGGGGAGCAAACAGGAUUAGAUACCCUGGUAG
rnacentral:rRNA from 1 species